UACAUCCUGCGAUGUUCGUCUCGGUUCUUCGUUGUUUUGAACCAAUGGAUAUGUCUCGGGAGACCUACAUUAGACGCCGCAAUGAAACGCCCUGUCUAUACGACAAGGGGACUUCAGAGCCCGUUUUGCGGUCACCCACCUGCGAUAGCAGGUUCGAGGCAAUGUGAUCGGACGGCAGAGCGGGACCUCU
rnacentral:other from 1 species